CAUUUUGUAUCUAUUUUUAGCAACAAGCAAAGCAGAGUGAAGUACAAGUUCAGCAGAUGCAGUCAUUGCAGGAGGCAGCCAACCAGCAAAGAGCACUACUACUCAUGAGCCGGUUAAUAUACCAGACAAUGUCACUGAGAGAUAUUCUCAUUCUCUCUCAGUUUGGAGUGUGCUCCAACCACUAACUGGAUAAUUGUGUUUGGAGGAAAGAGGAACUUUUCAACAAUCAUAAGUGAUCCAGCAGUUAUUGAACUCAGAUAUACUAGUAAUAAUGAUUGGUCUACUAGUAUAAUACCUC